rnacentral:lncRNA from 1 species
CUUUAUUUUCUAUUAAGUAAGAUUAUAUCAAGAGCUUGAUGAAAGCUUUCAGCGUGGACUGGAGAAAUUGAUAUGGAAGACAUUCUUAAACACCUAGCAUCUCUGCCAAUUAAUGUGAGUAGGGUAAGAGCAGCAUAGUUAUUAAAUGAAUUUAAUUGGAGAACACCAAGGUCUUCCUCUUCUACUUAUACUUAGAAGCUUUGAUUAGCUCAGAUCAGUGUAGCACAGUCCCCAUCAAGAAGCAGCUGUGAGCCAAGUACUGGGGAUAUAAAGAUGAUGGUACAAUCUCUAACAGGAGGUAUAAACACAGAAGUGGAGAUAGAAUUUGAAGCCAUUGCUGAGAAAAGUUUCCCAGGCAAGAUUAUCCAGCUGGGAUCAGGGUUUUCUCUUCAAAUGUGGAUAAAUGCCAGAAGAAAUGCUGCUGUCUUGUUGCUCCAGCUGUCUGGUUCCAGCUCGCUGAAAUGAAUAAGAGGACUCAGAACAGAACAAAUAGAGGGAUUGGGCCUGGGGAGUUUGUUUUAAAUUUCAGUCACAUUUAAAUUGUGAGUGUUGCAAAUAAUUUCAUCCACUUUCCUAUGAAAUGCUUGAUUCUGCUACCCAAGGGUGCACCCAUGGUCUGCUCAGCUUAAGUUGCCUGCUUUAAUAUGUGAUCUGAAGUUGCUGAGCUGAACAUCUGCACCAAAGCUCUAGUUAUCUGUUUAGUUGAGACAGUUGGCUUGGUAUUGUAAUACUGCAAUGGUGGGGGCAGUGUUGUAGCAUAUUGGAUCCCAUAUCUUUGCUGGUUUGAGUCCCGGCUCUUUCACUUUCAAUACUGCUCCCUACCAAUGCCCCUGGGAAAGCAGUGGAAGAUGGCAUAAAUAUUCGGGCCCCUUCGCUCAUGCAGGAAGAUGAAGUUCCAUGCUCCUGGCUUCUGUCUAGUCCAGUCCUAGAUGUUGCAGUCAUUUGGAGAGUGAACCAGUUGAUGGAAUAUUUUCUCUCUCUCUUUCCCUUUCUCUCCCUGUACCCCCUGCCCCAUAACUCUACCUUUCAAAUAACUAAAUAAAUCUUUUUGUAAAAGACUGCA